rnacentral:rRNA from 1 species
AGGGAGCUUGCUCCUGGAUUCAGCGGCGGACGGGUGAGUAAUGCCUAGGAAUCUGCCUGGUAGUGGGGGAUAACGUCCGGAUACGGGCGCUAAUACCGCAUACGUCCUGAGGGAGAAAGUGGGGGAUCUUCGGACCUCACGCUAUCAGAUGAGCCUAGGUCGGAUUAGCUAGUUGGUGGGGUAAAGGCCUACCAAGGCGACGAUCCGUAACUGGUCUGAGAGGAUGAUCAGUCACACUGGAACUGAGACACGGUCCAGACUCCUACGGGAGGCAGCAGUGGGGAAUAUUGGACAAUGGGCGAAAGCCUGUUCCAGCCAUGCCGCGUGUGUGAAGAAGGUCUUCGGAUUGUAAAGCACUUUAAGUUGGGAGGAAGGGCAGUAAGUUAAUACCUUGCUGUUUUGACGUUACCAACAGAAUAAGCACCGGCUAACUUCGUGCCAGCAGCCGCGGUAAUACGAAGGGUGCAAGCGUUAAUCGGAAUUACUGGGCGUAAAGCGCGCGUAGGUGGUUCAGCAAGUUGGAUGUGAAAUCCCCGGGCUCAACCUGGGAACUGCAUCCAAAACUACUGAGCUAGAGUACGGUAGAGGGUGGUGGAAUUUCCUGUGUAGCGGUGAAAUGCGUAGAUAUAGGAAGGAACACCAGUGGCGAAGGCGACCACCUGGACUGAUACUGACACUGAGGUGCGAAAGCGUGGGGAGCAAACAGGAUUAGAUACCCUGGUAGUCCACGCCGUAAACGAUGUCGACUAGCCGUUGGGAUCCUUGAGAUCUUAGUGGCGCAGCUAACGCGAUAAGUCGACCGCCUGGGGAGUACGGCCGCAAGGUUAAAACUCAAAUGAAUUGACGGGGGCCCGCACAAGCGGUGGAGCAUGUGGUUUAAUUCGAAGCUACGCGAAGAACCUUACCUGGCCUUGACAUGCUGAGAACUUUCCAGAGAUGGAUUGGUGCCUUCGGGAACUCAGACACAGGUGCUGCAUGGCUGUCGUCAGCUCGUGUCGUGUGAUGUUGGGUUAAGUCCCGUAACGAGCGCAACCCUUGUCCUUAGUUACCAGCACCUCGGGUGGGCACUCUAAGGAGACUGCCGGACAAACCGGAGGAAGGUGGGGGUGACGUCAAGUCAUCAUGGCCCUUACGGCCAGGGCUACACACGUGCUACAAUGGUCGGUACAAAGGGUUGCCAAGCCGCGAGGUGGAGCUAAUCCCAUAAAACCGAUCGUAGUCCGGAUCGCAGUCUGCAACUCGACUGCGUGAAGUCGGAAUCGCUAGUAAUCGUGAAUCAGAAUGUCACGGUGAAUACGUUCCCGGGCCUUGUACACACCGCCCGUCACACCAUGGGAGUGGGUUGCUCCAGAAGUAGCUAGUCUAACCGCAAGGGGGACGGUUACCACGGAGUGAUUCAUGACUGGGGUGAAGUCGUAACAAGGUAGCCGUAGGGGAACCUGCGGCUG